rnacentral:lncRNA from 1 species
CGAGGCAGUUUGGGUGAGAAGUUGGAGGAGGGUGCUGUCCUCUCAGCUGGUCCAGGGGAUGAGACCUGGACGUUCCUUGGGGUCUGUUCGUCCAGGUUUCCUGGUGACCUGGCCCAAAUGGGUGGGAGACCUGGCCCUGCGGGUGGACGGGGGCUUCUGGCCGAGGAGACCUCUGAGGAGCGCCGCAUCCUUUUGCCUGGACAUCUUUGCCCCCAGGUGGAGAUCUCUCUACCUCGGGAUGCAGUGAGCCGCCAACCUGCAGUUUUUAGAGGCUUGCUGCCUUUGAUUUGGUGGGAGGGGCAGAAGGAGGAAUAACGGGGGAGAAAAAUGCCUCAACUGCUCUUCCUGAAGGAGCGAGACCCCCCGCCAACAGAUCACCCAGAAGCUUAGUCUCAGCCUCUCCCACAAGAGGGACCCGGGUGUCUGCUGGGAGUCCGGGAGGGCCGGAGGGUGCCAGGUGAAAGCCCACGUCUGGCGGUCCCCCUCCCUCCUGGCACCAAUGGUGGUCGCCAUCAGGCCGAUGCCCUGGGCUUCUGACUUCACAUCCCAGCUGAGAGUGGGAGGGCCGAACUGCCCUGGUGCCCAGGGCUGUGAGUGACCCAUGGCCUAGGCCGGGGAUGGGGUUGUGUGGAGAAGCUCCAGGGGCCCGCUGGGUGUGAGCGGGGAUGGGGGCAUCUGGAGAGGAGAGCAGGAGGCUGCCCCAGGCCUUCUGUGGCCACAGCCACCUCAGCCCUUCUGUAUAUGGUUCAUUCAGCUCCCCGCCUUCUGCCCCCUACCCUACAGGCCCCAGGCCUUGUCUCUCUGGUGGAGGAGGUCAGCAGGCAGACCCCCAGGACCUCUGUGGGGCCAGGCUCCCGUGAGGGAGGCAGAGCAGAUGAAUUAUCUCGGGAACCCGAGGCUCCGAGAGCAGGUCUUGCUGUGGUUCCCUCGCCCCCAUCAGGCACUUCUCCUGAGGGAGCCCACUCAGAGCCCCCUUCUUUCUGGCGCAGUUGUGAUACCCUGGUGCUGCGAUUGCCUAGACCAGAGCAGAAUAACAGGUCAUUAGAAGGUGCAGGGAUGGACAGAGGGAGGGUCCAGGAAGAGGGAAACAGUUGCUAAAACUUAAACAUUUGCUAAGAGGGUAGAUCUUAUGUUAAGUGUUCUUAUCACAAAACAAACAAAACACACGGUUGCUAAGUUGGCCUUGUUGAUGACAACAUUUGCAGACUGCUUUUAAGGGUGGACACAGAGCCACUCUUUAACCACAGGACACCCAGGGGCCCUGCGAGGCGGCUGCUUGUCAGAGGACCCGCGGAUGGCCUCCUGGCUCAGCGGCUGCUGUCGUGACUUGGUACAAGGGGAGGCUGCACUUGUAUAACACUUUGUUAAAGUGAACCAGGUCUAAAGAAAGAGCCAUGCCCAGGGGCCGGCCUGGUGGCAGAGCUGUUACUGAAAUGGGGAUGUGGAGUGUCUCCUGUAUUUUAAGAAAGAGUCCCAUUUCUCUGGAAAAGCUUCUCGCGUGCACGUGGAAGAUCUUGGAGUGUAUUUUUAUGUUUUUCAGCCAGAGGUUCCCCGUGGGGGCCCAGUGCAGGGCCUGCUGGAGGAGGCUUCAUGAGGAAGUGACCCGCCCGAGGUCACAUUGUUCCUUGGUUUGCUGAAUGACUAAAGAAUGAAUAAAGAUGGAUGGAGACAGGAUUAGAACCAGGCUCUCAGCUCUUUUCCCCACUCCAGUGACAAACUGCCAAGUCUAAACAUCUAACAUGGCACAUGUGGCCCUGGUAACCUGGCCCAGCUGACCUACUUAGCCUCAUCUCUCCCCACUGAACUGCUGUGGCUCACACACACCACAUUGGUUUUACUCUGUGCCUUUGCUUAUGCUGUUCCCUCUGCCUGGAAUGCCUUUCCCUGCUGCCCCCACCCUCUUUGGUCUAACUUCUACUCACCCUUUUAGAAUCAGCCCCAGUUUCCUGGAAGCCUCCCCCAGCCCCUGGCUGGGCUAGGGGUUCCUUUUCUGCACCCAUAGUACACCGUGCCUACUGCAUUUACUGCACUUAGUUCUGCUUUUCUGUGCACAUGCUGGACCCAGGUCCCCAGCCGGGAGCCCCUUGAGGGAGGACUGCGUCUGACUCACCUCACCCUCAACGCUGGCCCCAGGCUGGGCACGUUUGAGAAGGAGGUCACAGGACCUGGCACUGCCCCUGCUCCCACUCCAGAGGAGAGCCUUGACCGUGUCGUGCCCAUUUCCCUGUCCCAAAUGUGGGAGAGCUGGGCUUCACCAGAUCACUUCUGAGGACCCUGUGGCUGACAAGAUGGCCAGGGCUGGCAUAGGACAGCCUGUGUUGGGUGCCCAAGAUCAGAGGGGGCAAGGGACAUGGUCAGCACCCUCGGCCACCUGCAGCGCCUGGUGGCAGGGAUUGGGGUGGGUGUGGAGCAGAGGAGGUGGAGGCUAUGUUCUGGGCCUCAGCAGACCAGACCCCGCCACAGAGGCUGGCCAGGCGCCGCACAGCAGGGAGGGCGGCCCCCAGCGGUUAUCAAAGGCCAGCAGGGACCCUCCCUCAGAUGGUGACUGCAGGGAGGGAGAAGGGGUCUCCCUGGGGCUGCUGGCUCUGCCACAGCCACUGACAAGCUGGGCCAUCCAUCAGCCCUGAGCACAAUGGGGUCAUUAACCCCUGACCCCAGCCCCUUUCUAGCCAUUUCCUCUGGAGGGCUCCCCUCCCCAAGGCGAAGGGAGGGGGCGAUUCCUGUAUAACCUCCCUCUUCAAUGAGGGGCCCAGGAGCGACGGCCCCCUCGGCUGGCGGGGGACUCACAGCUCUACGGCCCUUCCGAAGUCUGAGGUCCCGCUCCUGCAGCUGCCAUCCUCUGCUGGUGCCUCUCACCCUCGGCCACCCACGGGAGCACCCCUCAAGCCACAGCAGUGUAUUUGGGGAGGGACAGAGAGGGGCCCUGAGAGACAGGGACAGGGACAGAGGCAUUCCGAGAGAGACGCUUAGACGCUUUAGAUCAGAGGUGGCUCUUCAGUUUACACAGGACAUUCAAAGGGACAUUAGAGACCAGUACUGCUUGUGAAAUUCCAUGCAAGAGCCCGAAAUAAAAUAUUAGCAAAACAAAUCCAGCAAUGAAUAAAAAGGACAUAUACAUGAUGACCAAAGUGGGUUUACCCUAGAAACGCAAGGGGGGGUUAGCGCUGGAAAGCCUAUGAGUGCCAUCCAUCGCGUUAAUAAAUUAAGGGAGCAAAGCCGUAUGAUUGUCUCAGCACUAGCACUAAAUGUCAACAUCUACUUAUGAUAAAAAUGUUUUCGCAAACUUGGGAUAGAAGGUAUGUCUGUAGACUCAUGAAGAUUAUCUACAAACACCAGCACACACGCAGGUCUUAAAGGAGCAGUGGACACAUUCUCUAGAAUCAGGGGUGUUUGCCCUCAUCCAUGCGUCUAUUCAGCAUCGUACCCAAGGCUCCAGCUGGGGCAGUAAGACAACGAAACAGCAGCAAGGGAGAAGGAUUGGAAAGGAAGAAGGAAAACUGGCAUUAUUUGAAGAUGAUAUGAUCGUCUACACAGAAAACCCCAAAUAAUCUACGAAUUACCAGAACUAUGAAAAAAAUCCAGCAGAGAUGAUACAGGAUACUCCCAUAUCAAAUCAAUAUCAAAAACUAAUUGCAGCCGCAACAUAUGGAUAAACUUGGAAAAUAUUAUGCUAAGUGAAAGAAGCCAGACACAGAAGGCCACAUGUUAUAGGAUUCCAUUUAUAGGAAAUCUCUAGAAUAGGCAGCUCCAUAGAGACAGAAAGUAGAUUAACGGUUGCCAGGGGCUGAGGAAGGAAAAAAUGAGGAGUGACUGCUCAUGGGUAAAGGUUUCUUUUUGGGGUGAUGAGAAUGUUCUGGAAUUAGAUAGUGGUGAUGGUUGUGCAAGCUUGUGAAUGCACUAAAACCCACUGAAUUGUACACUUUAAAGGGGUGAAUUUUAUAUGGGUAAAUUAUGUCUCAAUAAAAAGUAACUGCAUUUAUAAA